GAGCCAGGGGUGUAGUGGACAACGCACAUGACUACAGAUCAAGAGACUGCAGGUUCAACUCCUUCCUGGCUCA
rnacentral:tRNA from 1 species